rnacentral:rRNA from 1 species
GAUGAACGCUAGCGGCAGGCUUAAUACAUGCAAGUCGAGGGGCAGCAUGACUGUAGCAAUACAGUUGAUGGCGACCGGCAAACGGGUGCGGAACACGUACAGAACCUUCCUUCGAGCGGGGAAUAGCCCAGAGAAAUUUGGAUUAAUACCCCAUAGUACAACGGAGUGGCAUCACUUUGUUGUUAAAGAUUUAUCACUUGAAGAUGGCUGUGCGGCUGAUUAGGUAGUUGGCGGGGUAACGGCCCACCAAGCCUGCGAUCAGUAACUGGUGUGAGAGCGCGACCAGUCACACGGGCACUGAGACACGGGCCCGACUCCUACGGGGAGCAGCAGUAAGGAAUAUUGGUAAAUGGACGAAAGUCUGAACCAGCCAUGCCGCGUGGAGGAUGAAGGUCCUCUGGAUUGUAAACUUCUUUUAUAUGGGACGAAAAAAGGGUUUUCUAACUCGUCUGACGGUACCAUAUGAAUAAGCACCGGCUAACUCCGUGCCAGCCGCCGCCGUAACAC